rnacentral:rRNA from 1 species
GGGUUGUGAGGUUAAGCGACUAAGCGUACACGGUGGAUGCCCUGGCAGUCAGAGGCGAUGAAGGACGUGCUAAUCUGCGAAAAGCGUCGGUAAGGUGAUAUGAACCGUUACAGCCGGCGAUGUCCGAAUGGGGAAACCCAGUGCAAUUCGUUGCACUAUCGUUAACUGAAUACAUAGGUUAACGAGGCGAACCGGGGGAACUGAAACAUCUAAGUACCCCGAGGAAAAGAAAUCAACCGAGAUUCCCCCAGUAGCGGCGAGCGAACGGGGAGCAGCCCAGAGUCUGAAUCAGCUUGUGUGUUAGUGGAACGGUCUGGAAAGUCCGACGGUACAGGGUGAUAGUCCCGUACACCAAAAUGCACAGGUUGUGAACUCGAAGAGUAGGGCGGGACACGUGGUAUCCUGUCUGAAUAUGGGGGGACCAUCCUCCAAGGCUAAAUACUCCUGACUGACCGAUAGUGAACCAGUACCGUGAGGGAAAGGCGAAAAGAACCCCGGCGAGGGGAGUGAAAAAGAACCUGAAACCGUGUACGUACAAGCAGUGGGAGCACCUUCGGGUGUGACUGCGUACCUUUUGUAUAAUGGGUCAGCGACUUAUAUUCUGUAGCAAGGUUAACCGUAUAGGGGAGCCGCAGGGAAACCGAGUCUUAACUGGGCGUUAAGUUGCAGGGUAUAGACCCGAAACCCGGUGAUCUAGCCAUGGGCAGGUUGAAGGUUGGGUAACACUAACUGGAGGACCGAACCGACUAAUGUUGAAAAAUUAGCGGAUGACUUGUGGCUGGGGGUGAAAGGCCAAUCAAACCGGGAGAUAGCUGGUUCUCCCCGAAAGCUAUUUAGGUAGCGCCUCGUGAAUUCAUCUUCGGGGGUAGAGCACUGUUUCGGCUAGGGGGUCAUCCCGACUUACCAACCCGAUGCAAACUACGAAUACCGAAGAAUGUUAUCACGGGAGACACACGGCGGGUGCUAACGUCCGUCGUGAAGAGGGAAACAACCCAGACCGCCAGCUAAGGUCCCAAAGUCAUGGUUAAGUGGGAAACGAUGUGGGAAGGCACAGACAGCCAGGAUGUUGGCUUAGAAGCAGCCAUCAUUUAAAGAAAGCGUAAUAGCUCACUGGUCGAGUCGGCCUGCGCGGAAGAUGUAACGGGGCUAAACCAUGCACCGAAGCUGCGGCAGCGACACUAUGUGUUGUUGGGUAGGGGAGCGUUCUGUAAGCCUGCGAAGGUGUGCUGUGAGGCAUGCUGGAGGUAUCAGAAGUGCGAAUGCUGACAUAAGUAACGAUAAAGCGGGUGAAAAGCCCGCUCGCCGGAAGACCAAGGGUUCCUGUCCAACGUUAAUCGGGGCAGGGUGAGUCGACCCCUAAGGCGAGGCCGAAAGGCGUAGUCGAUGGGAAACAGGUUAAUAUUCCUGUACUUGGUGUUACUGCGAAGGGGGGACGGAGAAGGCUAUGUUAGCCGGGCGACGGUUGUCCCGGUUUAAGCAUGUAGGCUGGUUGUCCAGGCAAAUCCGGAUAAUCAAGGCUGAGGUGUGAUGACGAGGCACUACGGUGCUGAAGUAACAAAUGCCCUGCUUCCAGGAAAAGCCUCUAAGCAUCAGGUAACAUUAAAUCGUACCCCAAACCGACACAGGUGGUCAGGUAGAGAAUACCAAGGCGCUUGAGAGAACUCGGGUGAAGGAACUAGGCAAAAUGGUGCCGUAACUUCGGGAGAAGGCACGCUGGUGUGUAGGUGAAGUCCCUGCGGAUGGAGCUGAGACCAGUCGAAGAUACCAGCUGGCUGCAACUGUUUAUUAAAAACACAGCACUGUGCAAACACGAAAGUGGACGUAUACGGUGUGACGCCUGCCCGGUGCCGGAAGGUUAAUUGAUGGGGUUAUCCGUAAGGAGAAGCUCUUGAUCGAAGCCCCGGUAAACGGCGGCCGUAACUAUAACGGUCCUAAGGUAGCGAAAUUCCUUGUCGGGUAAGUUCCGACCUGCACGAAUGGCGUAAUGAUGGCCAGGCUGUCUCCACCCGAGACUCAGUGAAAUUGAACUCGCUGUGAAGAUGCAGUGUACCCGCGGCAAGACGGAAAGACCCCGUGAACCUUUACUAUAGCUUGACACUGAACAUUGAGCCUUGAUGUGUAGGAUAGGUGGGAGGCUUUGAAGCGUGGACGCCAGUCUGCGUGGAGCCAACCUUGAAAUACCACCCUUUAAUGUUUGAUGUUCUAACGUUGGCCCCUUACCGGGGUUGCGGACAGUGUCUGGUGGGUAGUUUGACUGGGGCGGUCUCCUCCCAAAGCGUAACGGAGGAGCACGAAGGUUAGCUAAUCCUGGUCGGACAUCAGGAGGUUAGUGCAAUGGCAUAAGCUAGCUUGACUGCGAGCGUGACGGCGCGAGCAGGUGCGAAAGCAGGUCAUAGUGAUCCGGUGGUUCUGAAUGGAAGGGCCAUCGCUCAACGGAUAAAAGGUACUCCGGGGAUAACAGGCUGAUACCGCCCAAGAGUUCAUAUCGACGGCGGUGUUUGGCACCUCGAUGUCGGCUCAUCACAUCCUGGGGCUGAAGUAGGUCCCAAGGGUAUGGCUGUUCGCCAUUUAAAGUGGUACGCGAGCUGGGUUUAGAACGUCGUGAGACAGUUCGGUCCCUAUCUGCCGUGGGCGCUGGAGAAUUGAGGGGGGCUGCUCCUAGUACGAGAGGACCGGAGUGGACGCAUCACUGGUGUUCGGGUUGUCAUGCCAAUGGCACUGCCCGGUAGCUAAAUGCGGAAGAGAUAAGUGCUGAAAGCAUCUAAGCACGAAACUUGCCCCGAGAUGAGUUCUCCCUGAGACUUUAAGUCUCCUGAAGGAACGUUGAAGACGACGACGUUGAUAGGCCGGGUGUGUAAGCGCAGCGAUGCGUUGAGCUAACCGGUACUAAUGAACCGUGAGGCUUAACCUUACAACGCCGAAG